rnacentral:lncRNA from 1 species
CAGACUCCCAAAGUGCUGGGAUUACAGACCUGAGCCACCGUGCCCAGCCUUAUUACUGUUAUUAUUAAUUAUUGUUACCCUGGCUAUCCCUGGUAUCCUUUGCCAUUUUUACUUGCUGGGAACAGGGAAAAGAGGAACCUGGGCUUAUUAAAGACUGAGUCAAGGCCCAAGGCUUAUCCUGGAGCAAAAUGCAAAAUUUAGUGCCCGCGGAUUUUCUGUAUCUGUUUUGGCCCCCCAGAGACCCAUUUUUCAUUGUUUCUUGUCCACUGCCAUGUACUUAGCAGUUGAAACUUCAUUAGAUAAUAUUGGAGGGAAUAACCAGCAGGAAACAAUAUAGCCACUUUGGAAAUACUGAGUAUGUAAUGAAUAUUCAUAACACAGUAUUAAUCCUUAGGACUUUUCUUUUUCUUUUUUUUUUUUUUUGAGACAGAGUUUUGCUCUUGUCUCCCAGGCUGGAGUGCAACGGCGAGAUCUCGGCUCACUGCAACUUCCGCCUCCGGGGUUCAAGCGAUUCUCCUGCCUCAGCCUCCCGAGUAGCUGGGAUUACAGGCGUCUGCCACCACGCCCGGCUAAUUUUUGUGUUAUUAGUAGAGAUGGGGUUUCACCAUGUUGGCCAGGCUGGUCUCGAACUCCUGACCUCAGGUCAUCCGUCCACCUCAGCCUCCCAAAGUGCUGGGAUUAUAGGCAUGAGCCACCGUGCCCAGCUUAAUCUUUAGGUUUUAUAACAUCUGAGCAAACCAGAAGUAUUUUUCACAAAAUGAAAUCCUUAAGAGGAUUUCCUGGGAACAAUUAUUAAAAUUUUCUGAAAGGGAAAGUUUUUACAAAGGAUAUAAGUCAUUAUGACUAUGUGGAUAAGAUAUAAAAUUCAGCAUAUAUCAAGAAAAAUUGUACCUAUAAACUUACCAAUUUUUAAAAACAUGGAAGACUAUUAAAUGAGCUAAGAAGUGAGAUUAAGGUUAUAUAAAAAGAGGCAUUUAUUUCACAAUAAAGUUGAGACUGAGAAAAAUUUUAGUGUAUCAGGGUAUGUUAUGUUUUUGCUAUGAUAAAUGGAUAUUAUCUUUGAAAAAGCAGACUUUCUUAAUCAAGUGGCUGAAUACAUUGUUCUACUCCACAUAGCCAGCAGGGGGCAGAAAUAAUCUAAAGCACAGAAUUUUGAUUUUCCACUCCCAGAGGCUCUUAGAAGUUCCCGUCCUUGAAGGCUUUGAACCUGCUCAAUUGAAAAGACUUAUUUCCUCACUGCUGUGUUCAUGGAUGUUAAUUUUGCCUAAUUUCAAUCUAAUUUGUCCCUGCUUGGGUUGAUGAUCUAAAAUUCAUUUAGCACCCAUGCAGUUUUUAUUUGUGACAAAGAGCCACCUCCUGAUUUUCACUGCUUUUCAUUAUGAUACAGGAGAAAGACUAAGGAAAAAUAAAUGUGCUCCAAUUUCACGGAAUUCCAAAGGAUAAUGGAAAUGUCAUAAGCAUUCAAAAUAACCACUUUGUGUAACUUCUCCGGUGGCAGGCAUCUUUCACCCUGAAGUCACGGGAACAACGCUGAGGGGCAGCCAGAGAUUAUGUGGGCUUUUCCAUGGGAAGAACCACUCUACGUUAUCACCUUCUACAUAGUAGCAGUUGAAGCCAAAUGGACAGAAAGCCCGAGACAACAUGAAGUUGUUCUACAAGUUAUUUUGGAGAAAUUGACUUACCAUACCACUCAUCAACCCAUGCAAAAGCCUGUCUAUGUCCAAUCAGCAGAAUGUCUCGGACCACCUAAAAAGUAAAAGAAGGAGACUGAAAUAAUAGCAUCUUUGAUGAAAACUAUCUGGAAGACAAGUUGUUAACAAUUCUGGGGAUCUUGGUGAUUACAGAGUUCUUAAUCCCUCUGUCCAUAGGUGAUGACAAUUACAGGCUGCCUAUAGGUCCUAUAGUGCUCACACACCUCCAGCCCUUCCCCAUGGUGUACACACACUUGCAGUAUAUUCAUCUCUUUGUCUUAUUUGAGAGUAGGGCUGGGUGUGUGUACAAACUAAUGACAAAUACUUGACAGUCACACAGCAGUGAUACAAAUAAAUAUCUAGGUUAAUUACCUU